rnacentral:lncRNA from 1 species
UUCUUUUUAUUGGCGAUGAACUUUACAAUUGGAAAUGGAAAACAACGUGCCUCCAAGGGGCGCAAGCACACGAGUUACAGAAAAGGAAAUGUUUAAGUCUAAAAGCUAAAGGAAUGAAAAUUACAUAUUCUCUGUUCGAGAGUUUUGGAUUCGGUCCCUUACUUCUAAGUUCUUUCUCCCUUUUAUACUUCAUAGGCGAUCCCUUUGUGAUUAACUGCUCUAAAAAACUGCUUGAUCGCCCUAUAACUACCCACUUUCUUUGUAGUGGCCAUUUUGUCAUGCAACUGUCCUUUUAACUGCUGCCAUUAUCUUGCAUCGUUCAACCGCUUUCGAUUGAAUCCCUUGAGUCGUGGAACGUGAUAAAGUUACUUUAGCAACUGCCUCAAUAACUGCAUCAUAAUGCGUUAUGCUUGUUGAUACCUUGGGCGACUUGAAGAUUUGGGCGAGACUUUGGACGACCGUAUGCCACUCUAUUCGUUCAGACUCUGAGCGACUUACAAACUUGGACGAUGGCGUUACCGCACUAUUGGGCCCCUUAUUUGGGCAUUCACCUUGAUUCGUUCAAUUGGAUUUCGUUCUUUGGGCUAUCUGAUUUGGGGAUCCUCCAAUUGGGCUUUAUUCUCUGGGCUGUUCGAUUUGGGCUGAAUUUUUAUGUGUCAACAGA